GCUGAUUGUGUCCCAGCACCGGGCAGUGGCACUCCCAGCACAGGACAGUGGAGGCGGGACGCUCAUUCAGCAACAGCCUGACCACGUCGAAUGGCAAAGGGCUCCCCAGACUGACAUCUUCACCUCAGGUCUAACAUUUUUUGAAAUAAAAAGCUGGGAAGAAAACACACUCUAGAAGAAUGAACCAGUCCAAGCAUUCAUCUGGCAAUAUCGAUCAAAACUGUUAAUACCCACACCCCUUAACCUGCAGUGCACUGACAGGUACGUGUUGCACAGGUCUUACUGCAGCACACGCCAAGAUGUAUAUAGGUCUUCACUGUCAUAACAAAAACCCAGGAAGAAGCCAUCAGUGUGGGGUCGGGUAUAUACAUCACGGUACGAGGCAACACCAUGCAGUUACUAGAAACAAGGUAGAUCUGCAUGGAUUAAUAUGGAAAGACUUCCAAAUUGUAUUAACAAACUGCAGAAUAAUAUGCCUACCAUGAUUCUGUUCAGACCCAUUUUUAAAGAAUACAUAUUUCUGCUGGUGUUACGCAGGGGUUUUUUCCCUAGGAUAUGUAAGUGACUGUUAACAAAGGCUUCCUUUGAUGAAAGGAAUUAUGGGUCAGGGGACCCAUAGACUUUUUAUAUCAUUCUGAAUGGUUUAAACAUU